AUUAGGUUGGUGCAAAAGUAGUUGUGAUUUUUGUCAUUACUUUUAAUGGCAAAAACUGCAGUUACUUUUGCACCAA
ensembl:miRNA